GCGGGUGUGGCGAAAUUGGUAGACGUACCAGACUUAGGAUCUGGCGCCGCGAGGCAUGGGGGUUCG
rnacentral:tRNA from 1 species